GACACCGCUGGGGCGGGGGCUCCUCGGGCCCGCCCCCCACCCUCCGAGGCCCGGCCGCCGGGCGCCCGCGGCGGGGGGCCACUCACAGGCUCCACAUGUCCGCGCGCUCCCCGUUGUACUUCUUGCUCAUGAGGAUCUCGGGCGCCGUGUAGGCCACGGAGCCGCAGAAGCCCGGGGCAGUGGCGGCGGUCGGACACCGUGUUGAUGUGCUCCAGCAGGUCGCCGCGGCCCGCCAGCUCCAGGACCAGGUCGGAGGCCAGCCUGGGGUUGUGCUGCAUGCGCUCCUGCGUGGCGAAGGCCAGGUAGACUCUGGAGAAGGCCCCCGAGCCGAUCUUCUUGGAGGAGAGCAGGACCUGCCUGUCGAGAACAUCUUGCUGAAACCGGCCCUGUCCUGCGUAGGCCCCCGCCCCUCUCAGUGGUGAGAAUCCCUGAGGGCUAGCGUCAGCGGGAAAGGACAACAGGUGCAGCACCUGUCUUAACUGCGCCCCUUCCUGUCCUUUGGGAGGGUCCCACGCUGGCAGCCGGGGGAGGGGAGCAUUGCUCUGCUGAGGCCUGAAGCUUCUCCUGCGGAGCAAACGUCCCCAGAGCUCUCUGCAGACUCCAGGACACAGCCCCAAGGAAGUGAGGCCCCCUGGGCCCACCCCAAUCCCUGCAGCUUCCGGAGAGAGCAGCCAACAGGACCCUGCCCUCUCCUGCCCUCGAGAGUCUUCUGUGAGCAAAGAGAGUAGCAGGUGGCAGUGACUGAGUGCCUACUGCGUGCCAGGUGCCGUGCGAAGCGGCCAUAGUGGGUGCUCCUCCCCCCUCAUAGCACAGACCACACCUGAU